rnacentral:rRNA from 1 species
UCAUAAAACUGUUUGUUGAAACUGCGAAUGGCUCAUUAUAACAGUUAUAGUUUAUUUGACGUUCUUGUACUACUUGGAUAACCGUAGUAAUUCUAGAGCUAAUACAUGCAUAAAAAUCUAACUUCGGAAGAUUGUAUUUAUUAGGUAUCAAACCAUCCUCAUUUGAGUAUAUGGUGAUUCAUGAUAUUGGAAUGGAUCAUACAGCUUUAAGCUGUUGACAAGUCAUAUAAGUUUCUGCCCUAUCAGCUUUGGAUGGUAGGGUAUUUGCCUACCAUGGCAUUCACGGGUAACGGGAGAUUAGGGUUUGACUCCGGAGAGGGAGCCUGAGAGACGGCUACCACAUCCAGGAAGGCAGCAGGCGCGUAAAUUAUCCAAUCCUAAUACAGGGAGGUAGUAACGAUGAAUAACAAUGUCGGGCCUUUUUCAGGUCUGACAAUUGGAAUGAAAACGAUGU